UACGGGGGGGGUAAGCGUUGUUCGGAAUUACUGGGCGUAAAGGGCUCGUAGGCGGCCAACUAAGUCAUACGUGAAAUCCCUCAGCUUAACCGGGGAACUGCAUCUGAUACUGGAUGGCUUGAGUUCGGGAGAGGGAUGCGGAAUUCCAGGUGUAGCGGUGAAAUGCGUAGAUAUCUGGAGGAACACCGGUGGCGAAGGCGGCAUCCUGGACCGACACUGACGCUGAGGAGCGAAAGCCAGGGGAGCAAACGGG
rnacentral:rRNA from 1 species